rnacentral:rRNA from 1 species
UACGUAGGCAGCGAGCGUUGUUCGGAGUUACUGGGCGUAAAGAGUGCGUAGGUGGUUUUCUAAGUUUGGUGUGAAAUCUCCCGGCUCAACUGGGAGGGUGCGCCGAAAACUGGAAGGCUAGAGUGUGGGAGAGGAGAGCGGAAUUCCUGGUGUAGCGGUGAAAUGCGUAGAUAUCAGGAGGAACACCUGCGGUGCAGACGGCUCUCUGGACCAUUACUGACACUGAGGCACGAAAGCGUGGGGAG